GCGGAUGUAGCUCAGUGGUAGAGCUCCAGCCUUCCAAGCUGAUGGUCGUGGGUUCGACUCCCAUCAUCCGCUCC
rnacentral:tRNA from 1 species